AGACCCGAAACCCGGUGAUCUAGCCAUGGGCAGGUUGAAGGUUGGGUAACACUAACUGGAGGACCGAACCGACUAAUGUUGAAAAAUUAGCGGAUGACCUGUGGCUGGGGGUGAAAGGCCAAUCAAACCGGGAGAUAGCUGGUUCUCCCCGAAAGCUAUUUAGGUAGCGCCUCGUGAAUUCAUCUCCGGGGGUAGAGCACUGUUUCGGCUAGGGGGCCAUCCCGGCUUACCAACCCGAUGCAAACUGCGAAUACCGGAGAAUGUUAUCACGGGAGACACACGGCGGGUGCUAACGUCCGUCGUGAAGAGGGAAACAACCCAGACCGCCAGCUAAGGUCCCAAAGUCAUGGUUAAGUGGGAAACGAUGUGGGAAGGCCCAGACAGCCAGGAUGUUGGCUUAGAAGCAGCCAUCAUUUAAAGAAAGCGUAAUAGCUCACUGGUCGAGUCGGCCUGCGCGGAAGAUGUAACGGGGCUAAACCAUGCACCGAAGCUGCGGCAGCGACGCUUAUGCGUUGUUGGGUAGGGGAGCGUUCUGUAAGCCUGUGAAGGUGUGUCGUGAGGCAUGCUGGAGGUAUCAGAAGUGCGAAUGCUGACAUAAGUAACGAUAAAGCGGGUGAAAAGCCCGCUCGCCGGAAGACCAAGGGUUCCUGUCCAACGUUAAUCGGGGCAGGGUGAGUCGACCCCUAAGGCGAGGCCGAAAGGCGUAGUCGAUGGGAAACGGGUUAAUAUUCCCGUACUUGGUGUUACUGCGAAGGGGGGACGGAGAAGGCUAUGUUGGCCGGGCGACGGUUGUCCCGGUUUAAGCGUGUAGGUGUGUGUUCCAGGUAAAUCCGGUUCACUUUAACACUGAGGCGUGAUGACGAGGCACUACGGUGCUGAAGUAACAAAUGCCCUGCUUCCAGGAAAAGCCUCUAAGCAUCAGGUAACAUCAAAUCGUACCCCAAACCGACACAGGUGGUCAGGUAGAGAAUACCAAGGCGCUUGAGAGAACUCGGGUGAAGGAACUAGGCAAAAUGGUGCCGUAACUUCGGGAGAAGGCACGCUGACACGUAGGUGAAGUGAUUUACUCACGGAGCUGAAGUCAGUCGAAGAUACCAGCUGGCUGCAACUGUUUAUUAAAAACACAGCACUGUGCAAACACGAAAGUGGACGUAUACGGUGUGACGCCUGCCCGGUGCCGGAAGGUUAAUUGAUGGGGUCAGCGCAAGCGAAGCUCCUGAUCGAAGCCCCGGUAAACGGCGGCCGUAACUAUAACGGUCCUAAGGUAGCGAAAUUCCUUGUCGGGUAAGUUCCGACCUGCACGAAUGGCGUAAUGAUGGCCAGGCUGUCUCCACCCGAGACUCAGUGAAAUUGAACUCGCUGUGAAGAUGCAGUGUACCCGCGGCAAGACGGAAAGACCCCGUGAACCUUUACUAUAGCUUGACACUGAACAUUGAGCCUUGAUGUGUAGGAUAGGUGGGAGGCUUUGAAGUGUGGACGCCAGUCUGCAUGGAGCCGACCUUGAAAUACCACCCUUUAAUGUUUGAUGUUCUAACGUGGACCCGUUACCCGGGUUGCGGACAGUGUCUGGUGGGUAGUUUGACUGGGGCGGUCUCCUCCUAAAGAGUAACGGAGGAGCACGAAGGUUGGCUAAUCCUGGUCGGACAUCAGGAGGUUAGUGCAAUGGCAUAAGCCAGCUUGACUGCGAGCGUGACGGCGCGAGCAGGUGCGAAAGCAGGUCAUAGUGAUCCGGUGGUUCUGAAUGGAAGGGCCAUCGCUCAACGGAUAAAAGGUACUCCGGGGAUAACAGGCUGAUACCGCCCAAGAGUUCAUAUCGACGGCGGUGUUUGGCACCUCGAUGUCGGCUCAUCACAUCCUGGGGCUGAAGUAGGUCCCAAGGGUAUGGCUGUUCGCCAUUUAAAGUGGUACGCGAGCUGGGUUUAGAACGUCGUGAGACAGUUCGGUCCCUAUCUGCCGUGGGCGCUGGAGAACUGAGGGGGGCUGCUCCUAGUACGAGAGGACCGGAGUGGACGCAUCACUGGUGUUCGGGUUGUCAUGCCAAUGGCACUGCCCGGUAGCUAAAUGCGGAAGAGAUAAGUGCUGAAAGCAUCUAAGCACGAAACUUGCCCCGAGAUGAGUUCUCCCUGAGACUUUAGGUCUCCUGAAGGAACGUUGAAGACGACGACGUUGAUAGGCCGGGUGUGUAAGCG
rnacentral:rRNA from 1 species